rnacentral:rRNA from 1 species
GACCAGACUCCUACGGGAGGCAGCAGUGAGGAAUAUUGGUCAAUGGGCUUACGCCUGAACCAGCCAAGUCGCGUGAGGGAAGACUGCCCUAUGGGUUGUAAACCUCUUUUGUCAGGGAGCAAUUGGCGCUACGUGUAGCGUUAUCGAGAGUACCUGAAGAAAAAGCAUCGGCUAACUCCGUGCCAGCAGCCGCGGUAAUACGGAGGAUGCGAGCGUUAUCCGGAUUUAUUGGGUUUAAAGGGUGCGUAGGCGGAAUGCCAAGUCAGCGGUAAAAUUGCGGGGCUCAACCUCGUCGAGCCGUUGAAACUGGGUGCCUUGAGUGGGCGAGAAGUACGCGGAAUGCGUGGUGUAGCGGUGAAAUGCAUAGAUAUCACGCAGAACUCCGAUUGCGAAGGCAGCAUGCCGGCUCCACACUGACGCUGAGGCACGAAAGCGUGGGUAUCGAACAGGAUUAGAUACCCCAGUAC